AUGGCCACCCUCGAGUGUGUGGUCUCUGGAUUCUACCCGGACCUCAUAAACGUCACCUGGGAGAAAGACGGCUCCCUGAUCUCCUCCAACACCAGUGCUACACCGACUGCUCUGGAGCAGGGGGGCACUUUCAUUGCCAGCCACUUCCUGACUGUGAGUACAGAGGAGUGGAAGAAAGGCUCAAUCUUCAGCUGUACAGUGUCUCAUCCCCCCUCCAACACCAGUAUCAGCCGGGAGGUGAAAAGCAUUCAAGAAUUGUCUGUCUUUAUCCAAAAUCCCUCCACUGAAGAGAUUUGGAUCAACAAGACAGCUACUCUGGUGUGCAUGGUUGUGGGUGCUGAUCUGAGCCAGGUACAAAUCUACUGGCAGGUGAGCGAGAGGGAGAAAAUUAAAGGAAAUGUGACCAAAAAACUGAGAGAGGAAGGGACCCAAGACACAGUGAUCAGCCAACUCCAGACCAGUGUGGAGGAGUGGUCCAGUGGGGUGGAGUACGUGUGCUCUGCCCAACAACCUUCUUCAUCCUCAGCAGUGUCAGCGCGGACAAAAAGUACCAAAGUGGAGACAAAAAGUCCCAAGGUCAGACUGCUGCCUCCACCACAUGAAGGGACCAAGAGUAGGAACAUGGCCACCCUCGAGUGUGUGGUCUCUGGAUUCUACCCAGACCACAUAAGCGUCACCUGGGAGAAAGACGGCUCCCUGAUCUCCUCCAACACCCGUGCUACACCGACUGCUCUGGAGCAGGGGGGCACUUUCAGUGCCAGCCACUUCCUAACUGUGAGUACAGAGGAGUGGAAGAAAGGCUCAGUCUUCAGCUGUACAGUGUCUCAUCCCCCCUCAAACACCAGUGUCAGCCAGGAGGUGAAAAGCAUUCAAGUGGGGACAAAAAGUCCCAAGGUCAGACUGCUGCCUCCACCACACGAAGGGACCCAGAGUAGGAACACGGCCACCCUCGAGUGUGUGGUCUUUGGAUUCUACCCGGACCUCAUAAACAUCACCUGGGAGAAAGACAGCUCCCUGAUCUCCUCCAACACCAGUGCUACACCGACUGCUCUGGAGCAGGGGGGCACUUUCAGUGCCAGCCACUACCUGACUGAGAAGAGGUCCAUCAGGAAGUCCCAGGAAUCCUGCACAGACUUGACAGGAGAGGAGGGGAAGGAAGAACUGGGAGACUUGGAUGGAGAUGACAAUGUGCUGGCAGUUGCUGCCUUUGCCAUUCUGUUCGUUAUCAGUUUCCUCUACAGCACCUUCGUCACCGUCGUCAAGGCCAUGCUCCGUGUACAGACUGGGGGAAUGGUGCUGGGGCUAGUUGUGGAGGAGCUGCUGUGGGACUGUGGGGAGGUCAGUUCUCGGGAUGAACUGGGCUGGUCGUCCCUGAAGUGGGGUCCUGGGGAAGGGAGUCACACACAGAGACAAACCCUCGACGGGACAGGGGAGAAUUGGCCUCACUCGUCAGCCAGUGCUGAAGCCCCGAUAUCCCCGUCAGAUACCAAGGACACGUCAAACCCGGGCACUGGAGGGACACAGGAGCCUCACGUGAAGCAAACUUUGUGA